rnacentral:rRNA from 1 species
UAAACCUUUACUUACACCCCCACCUCGCCCGGGUACUACGAGCCCAAACUUAAAACCCAAAGGACUUGACGGUGCCCCAUAUCCACCUAGAGGAGCCUGUCCUAUAAUCGAUGAUCCCCGUUAAACCUCACCACUUCUAGCCUAUCAGCCUGUAUACCUCCGUCGUCAGCUCACCGCAUGAGCGCACUAUAGUGAGCAUAAUGGCCCUCUCCAAAACGUCAGGUCAAGGUGCAGCAAAUGAAGUGGCCAGAGAUGGGCUACAUUUUCUUACACAGAAAACUACGGAAGACUAAUAUGAAACCUCGUCAGAAGGCGGAUUUAGCAGUAAAGCAGAAACCAGAAAGUUCUCUUUAACAAGGCACAGGGGCAUGUACACACCGCCCGUCGCCCUCUUCAACGAUACCCACAAAGUUAGUUACUCAACACGCACAAAAAGAAGAGGUAAGUCGUAACAUGGUAAGCAUACCGGAAGGUGUGCUUGGAA